UACAGAGGGUGCGAGCGUUGUUCGGAAUUACUGGGCGUAAAGCGCGCGCAGGCGGCCUUUUAAGUCUCGUGGUGAAAUGCCGGGGCUCAACCCCGUGCCCGCCGGAGAUACUGGGAGGCUGGAGACGAGUAGAGGCAAGCGGAAUUCCGGGUGUAGCGGUGGAAUGCGUAGAGAUCCGGAAGAACACCGGAGGCGAAGGCGGCUUGCUGGGCUCUGUCUGACGCUGAGGCGCGAAAGCGUGGGGAGCGAACAGG
rnacentral:rRNA from 1 species